rnacentral:tRNA from 1 species
GCGCCCGUAGCUCAGCUGGAUAGAGCGCAUGCCUCCGGAGCAUGAGGUCGGAGGUUCGAAUCCUCUCGGGCGUA